GAGUUCAGACGGCCCACUCCUCCUCCUCCCAUGGGGACGUCUGUUUGAGCAGCGGCACUCCUCCUCCCAGCCGUUGCUCGGUCUAUUCGAAAAGCCUGCCGCACCUCCUCCCGCGGCAGGCUUUUUCG
rnacentral:sRNA from 2 species